AUGGGAAUUCGUGCUAUAACGACAAAUUUUGUAAAUGCCCAUUCCCCUAAUGCAAAUAGGAAGAUUGGAGGGUGGAGUAGACCUUCGAGGGGCUUUGUUAAAUUAAAUGUGGAUGUUGCCUUCGAUCAUGAUCUACUAAAGGGCACAACGGGGGCUGUCCUUAGGGAUGACAAAGGAAACUUCAUUGUAGGUGCAAAUUGGAAAAUUGAUUGUUGCGCUGAUGUCCUGACAGCGGAAGCAUUAGCACUUAGGUUUGGCUUAUCGCUAGCACAGAAGGCGGGUUGCAAUCGUCUUGUUAUCAACUCUGACAAUAUGGAAGUCAUUGACACAAUGAAGAAUGGAGGACACUCUGCAGGAGCGGCAGCAGCAAUUUUUUAUGACUGUUUUUUUAUAGCUUGUGAUUUUCCUCUUACUAGUUUUGAACAUUGUAAUAGGGAAGCGAACAAGGUAGCGCAUGAGUUGGCUCGACUAGAAAAAUAUUCCGUGACGAGGGAUUGGAUUGAGGAGCCUAUGGGAAAUAUUGUAUCUCUACUUAUAGACGAUGUAACCAUUAUUUCUAAUUAA
rnacentral:rRNA from 1 species